CUUAUCGGUCUCUCUCCUCCUCUCACUAAAUCAGCCCCUUUCUUCCCCAAAUCACAAAUUAGAGAAAUUCUCCCCCAAAUCGGAGUUUCCGUCGACCAGCCGAUCCGCCGAAGCCACCGCCGCCUCCGUCGGUGUUCCCUCCUCCUUGUCGUCUUUCUCUUCUCUCCCUCUUUUCUCUCUUUCCCCUCUCUCUUCCUCUACAGAUCUCCGUCUCCCCCCACUCCGCUGCCGUCGACCUCAGGCCCGCCGUCACGCCACCACCGCCUCGAAUCAGCCCCAGCCGCCGACGCCGACCCCCUUCCCGAUUUGUCGGGGCUGAGAGCAUAGCGGCUCGCCGCAGCGGCCUCCCUCUUCCCCCCCUCUCUCGGUUUUCCCCCUUUUACCGCCGGCAUGCACCACCUCCGCCACCGACGCCGUUUUCCGACAGGUUUUAAAGAAUGAAACAGUGACGAAUUUUUAGAGCGUGGGCUGUCACCGUCGGCACUCCGACGGAGUGCCGAGCUUGCUGCCUGAAGUCCCUCCGGCAGAUUCAUAUUUUAGUCUAAGAUAAGCCUCUGUUCUUUUUGCUAGGAAGUGCUAUUUCUAUAUUCCUUGCUACAAGUUGCUAUUUCUAUGUUCUUUGCUGUAGUUAUUAAGUUGUACUAUUUGGCAGAGACUAAAUCUUGCCUAGAAGCAUACGUUGGAUGCAUGUUUGUAAUUUGGGCAGGGCUAUGUUUUGCUUAUAUCUAGUGUUGCAAUAUGUGGGAGAAAGAAGUAAGAUGUUGUUGUACUCACCUUUGUAAAAGUGAAAAAGACUUAUUAGAUGUGAAAUAGAUUUGUUGGAUCUCCCUUUGUGAGGGGACGUCCUCUUCCUUUC